rnacentral:rRNA from 1 species
GACGAACGCUGGCGGCGUGCCUAAUACAUGCAAGUCGAGCGGACCGAAGGGAGCUUGCUCCUUUAGGUUAGCGGCGGACGGGUGAGUAACACGUGGGCAACCUGCCCUGCAGACUGGGAUAACUUCGGGAAACCGGAACUAAUACCGGAUAACACCGAAAACCGCAUGGUUUUCGGUUGAAAGGCGGCUUUUAGCUGUCACUGCAGGAUGGGCCCGCGGCGCAUUAGCUAGUUGGUGAGGUAACGGCUCACCAAGGCGACGAUGCGUAGCCGACCUGAGAGGGUGACCGGCCACACUGGGACUGAGACACGGCCCAGACUCCUACGGGAGGCAGCAGUAGGGAAUCUUCCGCAAUGGACGAAAGUCUGACGGAGCAACGCCGCGUGAGCGAAGAAGGUCUUCGGAUCGUAAAGCUCUGUUGUCAGGGAAGAACAAGUACCGUUCGAACAGGGCGGUACCUUGACGGUACCUGACGAGGAAGCCACGGCUAACUACGUGCCAGCAGCCGCGGUAAUACGUAGGUGGCAAGCGUUGUCCGGAAUUAUUGGGCGUAAAGCGCGCGCAGGCGGUUCCUUAAGUCUGAUGUGAAAUCUCGCGGCUCAACCGCGAGCGGCCAUUGGAAACUGGGGAACUUGAGUGCAGGAGAGGGGAGCGGAAUUCCACGUGUAGCGGUGAAAUGCGUAGAGAUGUGGAGGAACACCAGUGGCGAAGGCGGCUCUCUGGCCUGUAACUGACGCU